GACGAACGCUGGCGGCGUGCUUAACACAUGCAAGUCGAACGGAAAGGCCCUGCUUUUGUGGGGUGCUCGAGUGGCGAACGGGGGAGUAACACGUGAGUAACCUGCCCUUGACUUUGGGAUAACUUCAGGAAACUGGGGCUAAUACCGGAUAGGAGCUCCUGCUGCAUGGUGGGGGUUGGAAAGUUUCGGCGGUUGGGGAUGGACUCGCGGCUUAUCAGCUUGUUGGUGGGGUAGUGGCUUACCAAGGCUUUGACGGGUAGCCGGCCUGAGAGCGUGACCGGCGACAUUGGGACUGAGAUACGGACCAGACUCCUACGGGAGGCAGCAGUGGGGAAUAUUGCACAAUGGGCGGAAGCCUGAUGCAGCAACGCCGGGUGCGGGAUGACGGCCUUCGGGUUGUAAACCGCUUUCGCCGGUGACGAAGCGUGAGUGACGGUAAUGGGUAAAGAAGCACCGGCUAACUACGUG
rnacentral:rRNA from 1 species